CGGAUGACCUGCUUGCUGGGCUUCCCAUUCCUGAUUAUUAGCAAAGUGAGGACCACUGACUGAUGAGGGAAUUGUUCUACUGAGAUGAGGCUGAGCCUGGCUCAUGACAUCGUCGGGGCUCCGACAGCCUCAUCA